GCGAUUGGUCAGACCAAAGAUAGAAGACAGCGCGCUAGCGUAUCCAGUCUUCUAUAUAUCUAUGGUCUGCACGUCUGGUAGCAUCUCUGGCUGCUGUUGACCUUGUUUUUGGAGUAAAACACGGUGGAAGUUGAAUUAGUGAGGAUGACUCCUGCUCCUGUCAUCUCUAAGCUCCUCACACAUCUUUACCUGCACAUGAGGAAAAUCACUCCUGUAGAAUGCAGAUGUUCAGAGGGAGAUGAUGCCACAUCUGGUCCAGCUGAUGGAAGGUCUUGAAGUUCUCUGACUGGCCUCGACUGAAGAUGGUCGUCUCACUGGAUUUAAGGUUCAGAUGCUCAGUAACAAACACCACCAAUGUGGCAACAGAUGCACAAUGAGGGACGUCUGCAGAGACUGAGAAAGAGUCUCACCACAUCCUGACAUGAGGAAAAAGACUUUAUUGAAGACUACAAUGAGAAAAACUAUCAGACAGCAGACGGCUGCAUUCAAGUCUGUAGCUGCUGAAUUCAUGGAUGAAUCAUCUGGCACUAGAGAAGAAGACCAUCAAACAUCCACGUCAGCUGAUGGAGGUCCAAGAGUCUCACCAAACAAACAACCUACAGAUUUAGGCUGUUAGAUUGUUCCAGAUAAGACAAGUAAAAGAUACUUCAGAGUCGUUCUACCACGAGCCUGACAGGAAGAACUCCAACAGCUACUGAAUGUUCCUGUGGUCCCCUCAAGGCUACAGGAGGAGUCCUACGAGGACGAGCCGGUCCACCUGAUGGUGGCCAGUCGCUGCGGUUCAAAGCUAACACCGACUACAUGGACUUCUACUGGACCACACGGAGGCCUUCAAACCGGACCAACAAGUUCACCGACUCCCCGACUCGUGGGUCUGAGGACGCCGCCGAGCCUCGGUCCAGCCGGCCUCCUGUCUGUGGGUGUUUGAGUGCUGAGAGGUUUGUGGAUGUAAGUGAACGUGUCUGUGUUGAAACAGCAGCUUUGGACUCACUAACGCUGGUAAAAACCAAGAGCUCCUUUAUUUGUGACUUCCACUGAAAAAACUGAUGAAAAUAUGUUUGCCACAGUUCUGACUGAUAACAGAUUAUUAAAUAAUGAAAAUAAUUGUUUAAAUAUUCCUUUAAACAAUCCUUUUAGGUCUACAUUUCCUUUACACUGACUUCUUGGUAUAUGUACAAGUAUUUUGGGUGGAAUAUACCAUUAAGCCCGAUGUUCAAGGGUUCUUCUGGGAAUAUACCAUUAAACCAGCCUUUUAGGUAAAUGUUCCAGGAUGUUGGGUAGAAUAUAUCAUUAGAUCAACCUUUUAGGUCUACAUUGGAAGAUUUCAGAGUAGAAUAUUACUCCAAACCAUCCUUUAGGUCUACAUUUAAGGUGGAAUACUCCUUUACACCAAGAUUUUUUGGUCUACAUUGAAAGAUUUUAGGUGAAAUAUUCCUUUGAACGAACUUUUGAAGUUUAUGUUCAAGGAUGUUGG
ensembl:lncRNA